rnacentral:rRNA from 1 species
UACGAAGGGUGCAAGCGUUACUCGGAAUUACUGGGCGUAAAGCGUGCGUAGGCGGUUUGUUAAGUCUGUUGUGAAAGCCCCGGGCUCAACCUGGGAAUGGCAAUGGAUACUGGCAAGCUAGAGUGCGGUAGAGGGUAGUGGAAUUCCCGGUGUAGCGGUGAAAUGCGUAGAUAUCGGGAGGAACAUCAGUGGCGAAGGCGGCCCUCUGGUCCAGUACUGACACUCAAGUGCGAAAGCGUGGGGAGCAAACAGG